AGGACGAACGCUGGCGGCGUGCUUAACACAUGCAAGUCGAGCGGUGAUCCUCCUUCGGGAGGUGAUCAGCGGCGAACGGGUGAGUAACACGUGGGCAACCUGCCCCUCACACUGGGAUAACCUCGGGAAACCGGGGCUAAUACCGGAUACGACCUCGAGCGGCAUCUCUUGAGGUGGAAAGCUCCGACGGUGAGGGAUGGGCCCGCGGCCUAUCAGCUUGUUGGUGGGGUAAUGGCCUACCAAGGCGACGACGGGUAGCCGGCCUGAGAGGGCGACCGGCCACACUGGGACUGAGACACGGCCCAGACUCCUACGGGAGGCAGCAGUGGGGAUAUUGGACAAUGGGGGCAACCCUGAUCCAGCCAUGCCGCGUGAGUGAUGAAGGCCUUCGGGUUGUAAAGCUCUUUUAGCGGGGACGAUGAUGACGGUACCCGCAGAUAAGCCCGGCUAACUUCGCGCCAGCAGCCGC
rnacentral:rRNA from 1 species